UGUCAGGGCAAUCUGCAUGAAACCUGUCACCCCACUUUUUUUUGCCAAGUUUUACUCUGGCUGGCCAUGUCGAUAACCCCUUCUUCCCUCACCACACAACCUGUGUCCCUCCUGAAGCUAAGCACUUGUUGGAAGAGGCCCGCCAUCCCCAAACAGAAUAGGGUUUCUUCAGUCACGGGUUAGGAGAGCCAUGUGCCCCUGCUAGAACCUCCUAACAGGCUCUCAAGAAAGCCUGUGAUUCUUAAUUGCAGGUGCCAUCGUCCCUACAGUUU
rnacentral:snRNA from 1 species